AAGAAACUUUAACAUCAUUGAUAGGGUUGAAUCACGCUAACUUUUCAUUUCAAGUGCUACGUUAAGUAUGGAGCUUAUAGGGAUAUGUAAUAUGGACUCUUACUCCAAUGUAUGUGCAAAGUUAACGUGGCCAGAGUAUUGGACAGUUACAGUCGUGAAGCGGUUAACAAAGUUAGGAGGACUUUUGUGAAUAUGUGUGCGCAGUGUUUUAAGCCGAUAAUUGUCAUGUAGAACUAUUUAUUUUAAAGAUACGACGUAAUUAAAAAUAAAGUAUACUGUAUUUUAUUCAGCAGGUAAUAAUUUACUAGAGACAAACCAAGUUAACUCUGCAUAGACGUAAUGGUUUUAAUUUGUUCCGUCGAGGUUGGUGUGCAGUGUUAGACAAACUCUAACUACAAGUUGUACGGACCCAGAGCUGGUUUUCACGUUAUCGCGAUUCGGCAAGCCGAAGAUCCUAUACGGGAAGUACAGCUUCAACAAGUGGACGUACAGCCGGGGGCCGCUCCUCUCGUGGCUCUGCGUGAGGAAGGGCCGGGGCUGCCGCGCGCGUCUCAUCACGGAGAACAAUAAACUUGUCAAAGUGUGGCGGGAGCAUAACCACUGAUUAGCUUUUCGAAUGUAAACUAUAAGGUAGAAGUACUAGUUCUUGACGCUGCACUAGUACUCGACAUUGGGCACUUUAUGUCAAAGUGACAAGGAUUAAGUUCAAAUACAGAAAAAUCUUCGUUGUUCAAAUUUAACCUAUAUUUCCAUUAAAUAAAGUACCCAUGUCGGUGACUAGUGCAGCGUCGAGCACUAGUACCUACCUUAAUUGUGACUUCAGACCUCAGUUGUGCCCUUUGAAGUCAAAAUUGUUCCAAAAAAUGUAAGCAGUUCUGUUUGUCAUUUUCUUACCAGGUGACCCAAAAAUAAGUGGGCCAAGAUUUUUUACUGUACAUAUUACUGAUAAUUUUAACAAAAGUUUUCGUUUGUGUAUCAAAAAUAAACGAGAAUAUUUUGACGAUAAUAUUUAAUUACAUUUUGCAAACCGACUUCUUAGUAAGAAAAAUAACAAAAAAAAAUUGUCAACAUAUUUUUGGGUCUUCCUUUGUGCUCUAUGGAAAAUCAUUUUCAAAAAAUGCAAAAGAUGAGUGGAAAAACACAGACGGAUGGUUAACGGCAUACCUUAAUUGGAUGCAUGCACCUGUAUAGAGUUUAAUGCAUUUUUAUGAAUACUCGUAAGUUUACUUUUCAUUACGGUAUAUUUGUAGAUAAGUAUAUAAUGACAAUGGCGAAACAUCAACGCAAGGCAGUGAUAAUUUGUCAUAAUUGUUCUUGGACCGGGUGUUUAAUGAUUUAUAAAUAUGGACGACUGGUUAUGGCAACUGGUUAAAUCGGUGUAGGUGUAAUAAAUUAAGUGGUAAUUAUUAAUUAAAUGUAAUAACAAUAAUAUUAGUGUUUGUUUUUUAUACAAUGAGGUUAAAUCCACAUAUUAGGUUUAAUCCACAUUUUAACUUGUAAUAAAAUAAUAAAGAAAGAGUUAUUAAUAAAAAAAAUUAAUGAUUUAUUAUAUUUUAA